CAGCAGCCGCCGCGGUAAUACGUAGGUGGCAAGCGUUGUCCGGAGUUAUUGGGCGUAAAGGGCUCGCAGGCGGUUUCUUAAGUCUGAUGUGAAAGCCCCCGGCUCAACCGGGGAGGGUCAUUGGAAACUGGGAAACUCGAGUGCAGAAGAGGAGAGUGGAAUUCCACGUGUAGCGGUGAAAUGCGUAGAGAUGUGGAAGAACACCAGUGGCGAAGGCGACUCUCUGGUCUGUAACUGACGCUGAGGAGCGAAAGCGUGGGGAGCGAACAGGAUUAGAUACCCCUGUAGUCCCUGUCUCUUAUAA
rnacentral:rRNA from 1 species